CCGUCGUCAGUCGUACUGUGAAGCAUCCUGUUAAGUCAGGCAACGAGCGAGACCCACGCCAACAGUUGCCAGCUCGUCCUCCGGGAUGGUGGGGACACUGUUGGGACCGCCUCUGCUAAAGAGGAGGAAGGAAUGGGCAACGGUAGGUCAGCAUGCCCCGAAUUAUCUGGGCUACACGCGGGCUACAAUGGGUGGGACAAUGGGUAUCGACACCGAAAGGUGAAGGCAAUCUCCUAAACCCAUCCGUAGUUCGGAUUGUGGGCUGCAACUCGCCCACAUGAAGCUGGAAUCUGUAGUAAUCGUGUCUCAAAAUGGCACGGUGAAUAUGUCCCUGCUCCUU
rnacentral:rRNA from 1 species